rnacentral:rRNA from 1 species
UACAGAGGAGCCAAGCGUUGUCCGGAUUGACUGGGCGUAAAGCGCACGCAGGCGGUCGGGCGCGUGGGGUGGUGAAAUCUGGCCGCUUAACGGCCAGGCGCCAUCCCAUACGGCUCGACUGGAGUGAUGCAGAGGUCGGUGGAAUUGCCGGUGUACGUGGUGAAAUGACGUAGAGAUCGGCAGGGAACACCCAGGGGGAAAC